rnacentral:lncRNA from 1 species
UCCUGAUACGAGAAGGAGUUUCGACAAGAUAAGGAUGUUAAAGUUUGGGAUUGAAUACGACCUGAUAAGGGGGUUGAGUUCAAAGUCCUAGUGGGAGUAAGAUUGGCCGAGAUAAGGUUGGAUUAGGGGAAGGAGUUAUAAUCCGAGUAUGGUUGUGAUUCGAUUGGAAGCAGGUUGACUACCAUAAAUAGAGGAGGGAGGACAUCAUUAAGCCCUCUCUAAUUCAACACACAAGCUGCCCUACG